AACGAACGCUGGCGGCAUGCCUAACACAUGCAAGUCGAACGAGACCUUCGGGUCUAGUGGCGCACGGGUGCGUAACGCGUGGGAAUCUGCCCUUGGGUUCGGAAUAACAGUUGGAAACGACUGCUAAUACCGGAUGAUGACGUAAGUCCAAAGAUUUAUCGCCCAAGGAUGAGCCCGCGUAGGAUUAGCUAGUUGGUGAGGUAAAGGCUCACCAAGGCGACGAUCCUUAGCUGGUCUGAGGGGAUGAUCAGCCACACUGGGACUGAGACACGGCCCAGACUCCUACGGGAGGCAGCAGUGGGGAAUAUUGGACAAUGGGCGAAAGCCUGAUCCAGCAAUGCCGCGUGAGUGAUGAAGGCCUUAGGGUUGUAAAGCUCUUUUAACCGGGAUGAUAAUGACAGUACCGGGAGAAUAAGCGCCGGCUAACUCCGUG
rnacentral:rRNA from 1 species